UAUGCUUUCUCUGACAAUGCUAAAGCUAAAGCUGAGAGCUUGCAUUUUUGGUUUUGUGUGCGUUCUGAGGUGGUUUUUGUUUUGUUUUUUAAACACAGAGGAACUUGAAAAUACAAGCACCAGGGAGACAUUAUUAUUUGAACACUUAAACUAGUAUUUCCCAGACUAUUGCUAUGUCUGCCACCUGGCUGGAAAGGGCCAUCAGCUGUUAUCCUACAGUGCUGCAGAUAAAGCCAAAAGCCAGAGGUUAGAGCAUUACCCAACACUCACCAUCCCACUUCAGUUCUCCAGGCAUAAAAAGCACUUUGUUUAGAGACCCAGCUGGGGACAAAGGCAACAGGUUGGGGACCAUGGGGGCUGCCUUUUUUUUUUUUUUUUUUUUUAAUAUAAACAUCUGAAAUGGAAAUUUUUUAGAUAUGUUUCUAAUAAGAUUUUCAGCUCUCUCUGGAAGAAGCACGCUGGAAGCAGCUGAAGCUGGCUCAGUGGAAAGCUCUUUUCAGUAGCCUUUGUGCAUACCACAGGGUCCAGGUGUCUACUAGGAAAUAUUACGCAACGCAGAAGCACGAACAGCCCAAGUCCAAGCCCACUUUCUAUUCACGAUCCCUGUAAAUUUUCCAAAAAAUCCAGGAGGGACUGCAGGGAUGAUCCAGAGAUGGGAAGAAAGAAACGGGAACACCGCUGUCACCAAGAUCUAUUCAGCCCUCUCCCGGGUACAAAGGGAGAAUUCUUCUCUCAACACAAGACCACAGACUUGGUUUGACAAACCCUAUGUACCUCUGCGUCUUACAGGUGCACACACAUGCUCCAGUGUGUAUUGGAGGUAUGUGUGCACACAUCUAUUUGCAAACACAUAAAGAAGUUACAGCUUGAGGAAUGAGCCCAUUACCAUUAAGCACUGCUGCUUAAAUAUGUCAGAAGCACAGUAAAUUAGAUCUGCAGGACAAGAUGUAUGUGCACGUACACUGAUGCUCUCCGUCCUCUUCAAAAAAAGGUUUAAAACAUGCUCAUAUAAAAACUCUAUUUGGCACAUCCUGCUUAUUAAUGAUUUACUAUCAAGCUUCUGUGGUCCAAUUUCCUCUGAAGUAAAAUAAAAGUAACAGGAGCCUGCACACACUUACACAUCAUCUCCCACCCUAGUAAGAUAUAUUUGUUUUGGCUCUGAAUCUACUGAGUCCUUAUCUCAUGUCAUCAAACAUUGCCUCACACUUCCCAUAACUCUCAGGUUUUGAUUUUACAGGACAGCACUCUUAAUUUAUACCUACAAGAGGGAUCGAUUCCCAGUUGUUGUUGCUUGGGCCAACCACUGCACAAUACUUGAACUACUGGCAUUUACCAUCUUCAUGGGAAGGUAAGACAGAGGUGCAAAUAUCAAGACAGGAGAAGUGAAGACGACUGACUGAAUUCCAGAUCCACUCAGGAACUUAGGAAUCCAAAUCUCAUCCAAAUCAGAGGGAAGAGGGGCUAUUAAAAAUUAGACCACAGAAAGAUUUACACAGUUAAUCUUGCCUGAAGUUAUGUCAGAACAGUAGCAGAACAGCAAUUAAAUCCAUGCUUCUCAAGUCCCUUGUCACAGCUUUAGCCACCAGGUCAUCCCUUCUCUUCUCGGUAGCUGAUGUUGGACAAGCUGUUAAUGUACAAUUUCGAUCUGAAGGAUGCAUGUUUUUAGUAGAAGUCAAGUGGGUGCAGUUUGUUUGUGUUUGUACACCCACGGCCAGGUCUCUGAACCUUGUGGCUAUUUGUGAAUGUGAAUUUCUGUAUACUUGGAGAAUUGUCAAGAAACGCUGCAAGUACAGAUGGUACCCUGGAAAAAAGGGGCACUUUGCAUCUGUUUACUAUGCAAAUUAAUUCAUUUAACAUUUUUUGACAGCAGGUCAGUUUAGAACAGGAAUCGGGCUAAAAAGUUGGCAAUUUAGAAACUAAGUUCUACUCUGCCCUCUAAAAAGUGAAAAAAUCCAAGAGAGAAUUAAAAGUAAUUAGGCAGAAAACUGCAAUUAAGCUCAGAAUGAAUUUAAUUUUUAAACCAUUAAUCCUUGCUGCUUCUGGAAAACUGAGAAUCAUGGUGGAUAUCUACACAGAAAACAAAAAUGGUGAUGUGACUGCAGCAGUGCUCUCUGACCCACGGAGCAGCACUCCCACGCUGAAGCAGGAAGAAGCACCUUGGGAGAAACCAGACCUGGAUGGCAAUGAGUUAGCCUCAGCUCUGGCACUCUCUCAAGCAAUUCAUCUCAUUCUCUCAUCCUAAAGCACCUUACUGUCUUGGGCAGAGUUCUAGGAAGGAUCACAAAAUGAUCUCGUUAAAAAUGCACCAGAUCAUUAUAUUAAAUUGGUGGAGACUACAAUUAAAAAGUGAAUGCUUCUGGAUUGCAAAACCCAAUAGGGAUUUAGGGGCUUAAAGAUAAAAAGACAGUAAUCAAAGAGAUAUUCUCUGCAUACCUAAAAGAAUAAAAUACAAAGACAUGAAACUUGUAUUCCAAGUAAGAUAAAGGAACACCUGUGAAUACUUCAUGAUUUUUCCAUCAAAUACCUUUCUUACUUCUUCCCUAGUCCUACUUUUCUAGAACCAAAAUCCACUUGAUUUCCAUAAAUUAAUCUGUGAGGUUUUUUGUUCAUUUGUUCAUUUGUUUUUCCUGUAUUGUUUCCUUCCAAAUUUCCUACCUACUUAUUUCUCUUAACAGCUUCAAUAGAAUAUAAAAUAUCUCUUUUUAUAAAAUUACAUGCAACCUAUCAUCUAUCACAAGACACAUGAAAAAUUUAAGAAGUAAAGUGAUUAUGGGCUUUGCAGAUCCAUUCAUCAAGGUAUUGUAGACAAACUAUGACUGGAAAGGAAAAUGGGAUAAAUCAAGAUUCUAUGAAGGACAAAUUAGUGGGUUUUUUUUGGAAAAAAUCCACGUUUUCAAUUAUUUUAAAAUAAGUGUUCUCAAGACUCCAUAUUAUCAAAGAAGAGACCUAGAUUAAGAACAAAGUAAAGAUCAGAAAGCAGUGUAAAAAAAAAAAAA